CAACUACUCCCUCUGUCCCAAAUUUCUUGUCUUAGAUUUGUAUAGAUAUGGAUGUAUCUAAUACUAAAAUGUGACUUGAUACAUCCGUAUCUAGACAAAUCUAAUACAAGAAUUUUGGGACGGAGGGAGUACUUU
rnacentral:pre_miRNA from 1 species